AGAGUUUGAUCCUGGCUCAGGACGAACGCUGGCGGCGUGCCUAAUACAUGCAAGUCGAGCGCAGGAAACUGACGGAACUCUUCGGAGGGAAGGCAGUGGAAUGAGCGGCGGACGGGUGAGUAACACGUAAGGAACCUGCCUCAAGGAUUGGGAUAACUCCGAGAAAUCGGAGCUAAUACCGGAUAGUUCAUCGGACCGCAUGGUCCGCUGAUGAAAGGCGCUUCGGCGUCACCUUGAGAUGGCCUUGCGGUGCAUUAGCUAGUUGGUGGGGUAACGGCCCACCAAGGCGACGAUGCAUAGCCGACCUGAGAGGGUGAUCGGCCACACUGGGACUGAGACACGGCCCAGACUCCUACGGGAGGCAGCAGUAGGGAAUCUUCCACAAUGGACGAAAGUCUGAUGGAGCAACGCCGCGUGAGUGAUGAAGGUUUUCGGAUCGUAAAACUCUGUUGUAAGGGAAGAACACGUACGAGAGGAAAUGCUCGUACCUUGACGGUACCUUACGAGAAAGCCACGGCUAACUACGUGCCAGCAGCCGCGGUAAUACGUAGGUGGCAAACGUUGUCCGGAAUUAUUGGGCGUAAAGCGCGCGCAGGCGGCCUUUUAAGUCUGAUGUGAAAGCCCCCGGCUCAACCGGGGAGGGCCAUUGGAAACUGGAAGGCUUGAGUACAGAAGAGAAGAGUGGAAUUCCACGUGUAGCGGUGAAAUGCGUAGAGAUGUGGAGGAACACCAGUGGCGAAGGCGACUCUUUGGUCUGUAACUGACGCUGAGGCGCGAAAGCGUGGGGAGCAAACAGGAUU
rnacentral:rRNA from 1 species